CAGCAGCCGCGGGAAUACGUAGGGUGCAAGCGUUAAUCGGAAUUACUGGGCGUAAAGCGUGCGCAGGCGGUUUGUUAAGACAGAUGUGAAAUCCCCGGGCUCAACCUGGGAACUGCAUUUGUGACUGGCAAGCUAGAGUAUGGCAGAGGGGGGUGGAGUUCCGCGUGUAGCAGUGAAAUGCGUAGAUAUGCGGAGGAACACCGAUGGCGAAGGCAGCCCCCUGGGCCAAUACUGACGCUCAUGCACGAAAGCGUGGGGAGCAAACAGGAUUAGAUACCCCGGUAGUCCCUGUCUCUUAUAC
rnacentral:rRNA from 1 species